rnacentral:lncRNA from 1 species
UUUUCAAGUUAUAUUUGGUCUUUAAAAACUUGUUUAGGGGUUAAAGGAAGAAGAGUAUACUUUUUGCCCACUUUUUCUACCAUGUACCUAUUGAGAUAACCAUCAUGCAUCACUCUUCUAUCCCAUUGCCAUGGUCUACCCAAUAAAAUAUGACUAGCUUGCAUAGGAACUACAUCACAUGUCACCUCAACACUAUACUUCCCAAUAGUAAAAGGCACCCUCACUUGCUUAUUAACUCUCACCUCCCCACUAUUGUUAAGCCAUUGCAGUUUAUAAGGUUUAGGAUGUUUUGUAGUUUCCAAACCUAGUUUAUCAACAAACAAGGUACUAGCCACAUUUACACAACUACCCCCCAUCAAUAAUCAUGCUACAAAAUUUUCCAUUCACUAGACAUCUAGAAUGAAAAAUGUUCUCUCUUUGUAACUUAACCCCCUCAUCAUCAUUCCUUACUUGCGUAUUCAAAGCACGCCUAAAAACCAACAAUCUACCUUUCAUAGGCAUUUUCCCAUCACUACAAUC